GACGAACGCUGGCGGCGUGCUUAACACAUACAAGUCGAGCGGUAAGGCCCUUCGGGGUACACGAGCGGCGAACGGGUGAGUAACACGUGGGUGACCUGCCCCCUACUCUGGGAUAAGCCUGGGAAACUGGGUCUAAUACCGGAUAUGACUCAUGAUCGCAUGGUUGUGGGUGGAAAGAUUUUUGGUGGGGGAUGGGCCCGCGGCCUAUCAGCUUGUUGGUGGGGUGAUGGCCUACCAAGGCGACGACGGGUAGCCGGCCUGAGAGGGCGACCGGCCACACUGGGACUGAGACACGGCCCAGACUCCUACGGGAGGCAGCAGUGGGGAAUAUUGCACAAUGGGCGCAAGCCUGAUGCAGCGACGCCGCGUGAGGGAUGACGGCCCUCGGGUUGUAAACCUCUUUCAGUAGGGAAGAAGCGAAAGUGACGGUACCUGCAGAAGAAGCGCCGGCUAACUACGUGCCAGCAGCCGCGGUAAUACGUAGGGCGCAAGCGUCAUCCGGAAUUAUUGGGCGUAAAGAGCGUGUAGGCGGCUUGGUAGGUCUGCUGUGAAAACUCGGGGCUCAACCCCGAGACGUCGGUGGAAACCACCCGGCUAGAGUCCGGAAGAGGAGAGUGGAAUUCCUGGUGUAGCGGUGAAAUGCGCAGAUAUCAGAGGAACACCGAUGGCGAAAGCAGGUCUCUGGGCUGUAACUGACGCUGAGGAGCGAAAGCAUGGGAGCGACAGGAUUAGAUACCCUGGUAGUCCAUGCCGUAAACGUUGGGCACUAGGUGUGGGGACAUUCCACGUUUUCCGCGCCGUAGCUACGCAUUAGUGCCCCGCCUGGGAGUAC
rnacentral:rRNA from 1 species